rnacentral:rRNA from 1 species
UAUUGCACAAUGGGCGAUAGCCUGAUGCAGCAACGCCGCGUGAGUGAUGACGGCCUUCGGGUUGUAAACCUCUUUUAGUAGGGAAGAAGCGUAAGUGACGGUACCUGCAGAAAAAGCACCGGCUAACUACGUGCCAGCCGCCGCGGUAAUACGUAGGGUGCAAGCGUUGUCCGGAAUUAUUGGGCGGAAAGCGCUCGUAGGCGGGUUGUCGCGUGUGCUGUGAAAUCCCGAGGCUCAACCUCGGGCUUGCAGUGGGUACGGGCAGACUAGAGUGCGGUAGGGGAGAUUGGAAUUCCUGGUGUAGCGGUGGAAUGCGCAGAUAUCAGGAGGAACACCGAUGGCGAAGGCAGAUCUCUGGGCCGUAACUGACGCUGAGGAGCGAAAGCGUGGGGAGCGAACAG